rnacentral:misc_RNA from 1 species
CAGGCUCUCGAACAGCAGAGGGCAAGCCGAAAACGCCUAUCACACACAGACGUACACACGGGCAUACUCCGUUACAUCUCUCCAACCAUGAAUCAAGCCCUAGACCCUGCACGUGCGCCGCAGUUCCUGGACUCGAUGCUGCGCCGCAACCGCAUCGUGCUCAUCUCCGCCACCUACUGCCAGUUCUCCACCAAGCUGAAGAUGUUGCUGAUUGAGCUGAAGCACCGCUUUGUCUCGCUGGAGAUCGACAUCAUUCCCAACGGGCGAGAGGUUUUUCAGGAGGUGGUAGCCCGCACCGGCGUGCACACAGUGCCGCAGGUGUUCCUCAACGGUAAGUACCUUGGCGGAUACGACGACCUCAUCGCGCUCUACCACAAGAGAGAGCUCUCCGAGACUCUGGAGAAGCGGUGAGCUAACGCGAGACUGUGGGAGAGUGCGAGGCUGUGAUAGAAUAAUGCGGCAUGGUGAGUUGAGCAGGAGAGGAACGCAACACCGCCACUUCAGCUUGCCGGUUUUGGAUCCGGGCUUGCCUUUUUUUUUGUCGAGGAUGUGCCCCGCUGCUCCGCAGCGCUCCUCCCGCGUUCAAGGACGGGUCGAUGGGGUGUCUUGUCCCGCAUCUCUCUCUCUCUCUCUUCGCCUCCUCCCCCUCUCCGGCACUGUUUUCUUUCUUUUGUCUGUUCCUCCCCUUCGCUUCGAUUGGCACGCUGGGUGUGUGCGCGUACGUGCGGGACCUCGCUGAUCGCUCGAAGCUCCGCUGAACAGCAUCGCUGUGCGCCUCUCCAGAGCAUUGUUGGCUGGCAUGAAUGUGCACUACAUUCCUCUGAGGAAGAAGGGGGGGCCGAGUCUGGGUGUCUGUCAGUCGCCGUUGGACUGUUUGUUUUGUCUGCGUUGCUCUUCACCGGUAC